GACGAACGCUGGCGGCGUGCUUAACACAUGCAAGUCGAACGGAAAGGCCCUGCUUUUGUGGGGUGCUCGAGUGGCGAACGGGUGAGUAACACGUGAGUAACCUGCCCUUGACUUUGGGAUAACUUCAGGAAACUGGGGCUAAUACCGGAUAGGAGCUCCUGCUGCAUGGUGGGGGUUGGAAAGUUUCGGCGGUUGGGGAUGGACUCGCGGCUUAUCAGCUUGUUGGUGGGGUAGUGGCUUACCAAGGCUUUGACGGGUAGCCGGCCUGAGAGGGUGACCGGCCCCAAUGGGACCGGAAUAACGCCCCAACGCCCAAGGGGAGCCAGAGGGGGGAAAUAUACAAAAAGGGCCGAAAACUGAUGGCGGGACCGCGGGUGGCGGAUGAACGCCUUUCGGUUUUAAACCGGCUUUGCCCGUUAACGAAGCUGAGUGACCGUAAAUGGUAAAGAAGCACCGGCUAACUACGUG
rnacentral:rRNA from 1 species